UUUUUUAAUUGAAAACUGGUAUGAAUGGUAUAAACUGAAGGGAAUGUUUUAUAGAAAAUUUUUGAUAUUAAAUUAAAGGUAAAAAUGCUUUUAUUAACUUUUGGGACGAGAAGACCCUAAAAGCUUUUAAAUUUAUAAAUUUUUAGUUGGGGUAACUUUUGAAGAUAAUCAUUUUUGAUAAUUUUAUAUUAAAGUCAAAGAAGUUACUUUAGGGAUAACAGCGUUAUUUAAUUAGCAAGUUCUUAUUAAUAAUUAAGAUUGCGACCUCGAUGUUGAAUUAAGU
rnacentral:rRNA from 1 species